GACGAACGCUGGCGGCGUGCCUAAUACAUGCAAGUAGAACGCUGACGGAAGGAGCUUGCUCUUUCUGGAUGAGUUGCGAACGGGUGAGUAACGCGUAGGUAACCUGCCUGGUAGCGGGGGAUAACUAUUGGAAACGAUAGCUAAUACCGCAUAAAAUUGAUUAUUGCAUGAUAGUCAAUUAAAAGGUGCAACUGCACCACUACCAGAUGGACCUGCGUUGUAUUAGCUAGUUGGUGGGGUAACGGCUCACCAAGGCGACGAUACAUAGCCGACCUGAGAGGGUGAUCGGCCACACUGGGACUGAGACACGGCCCAGACUCCUACGGGAGGCAGCAGUAGGGAAUCUUCGGCAAUGGACGGAAGUCUGACCGAGCAACGCCGCGUGAGUGAAGAAGGUUUUCGGAUCGUAAAGCUCUGUUGUAAGAGAAGAACGAGUGUGAGAGUGGAAAGUUCACACUGUGACGGUAUCUUACCAGAAAGGGACGGCUAACUACGUG
rnacentral:rRNA from 1 species